GCCUGCGACCAUACCACGUAGAAUGCUCCCGAUCCCGUUCGAUCUCGGAAGAUAAGCUGCGUCGGGCCCGGCUAGUACUUAGAUGGGUGACCGCUUGGGAACCCCGGGUGUUGCAGGCA
rnacentral:rRNA from 1 species